rnacentral:rRNA from 1 species
UAGGGAAUCUUCCGCAAUGGACGAAAGUCUGACGGAGCAACGCCGCGUGAGUGAAGAAGGAUUUCGUUUCGUAAAACUCUGUUGUUAGGGAAGAAAAAAUGUAUAGUAACUAUAUACAAAAGAGACGGUACCUAACCAGAAAGCCACGGCUAACUACGUGCCAGCAGCCGCGGUAAUACGUAGGUGGCAAGCGUUGUCCGGAAUUAUUGGGCGUAAAGCGCGCGCAGGUGGUUUAGAAAGUCUGAUGUGAAAGCCAACGGCUCAACCGUGGAGGGUCAUUGGAAACUAAUAAACUUGAGUGCAGGAGAGAAAAGUGGAAUUCCUAGAGUAGCAGUGAAAUGCGUAGAGAAUAGGAGGAACACCGGUGGCGAAAGAGGCUUGUUGGCGUGCAACUGAAAAUGAGGCGCGAAAGCGUGGGGAGCAAACAGG